AGAGUUUGAUCAUGGCUCAGAUUGAACGCUGGCGGCAGGCCUAACACAUGCAAGUCGAGCGGUAACACAGAGAGCUUGCUCUCGGGUGACGAGCGGCGGACGGGUGAGUAAUGUCUGGGAAACUGCCUGAUGGAGGGGGAUAACUACUGGAAACGGUAGCUAAUACCGCAUAAUGUCGCAAGACCAAAGUGGGGGACCUUCGGGCCUCAUGCCAUCAGAUGUGCCCAGAUGGGAUUAGCUAGUAGGUGGGGUAACGGCUCACCUAGGCGACGAUCCCUAGCUGGUCUGAGAGGAUGACCAGCCACACUGGAACUGAGACACGGUCCAGACUCCUACGGGAGGCAGCAGUGGGGAAUAUUGCACAAUGGGCGCAAGCCUGAUGCAGCCAUGCCGCGUGUGUGAAGAAGGCCUUCGGGUUGUAAAGCACUUUCAGCGGGGAGGAAGGCGUUAAGGUUAAUAACCUUGGCGAUUGACGUUACCCGCAGAAGAAGCACCGGCUAACUCCGUGCCAGCAGCCGCGGUAAUACGGAGGGUGCAAGCGUUAAUCGGAAUUACUGGGCGUAAAGCGCACGCAGGCGGUCUGUCAAGUCGGAUGUGAAAUCCCCGGGCUCAACCUGGGAACUGCAUUCGAAACUGGCAGGCUAGAGUCUUGUAGAGGGGGGUAGAAUUCCAGGUGUAGCGGUGAAAUGCGUAGAGAUCUGGAGGAAUACCGGUGGCGAAGGCGGCCCCCUGGACAAAGACUGACGCUCAGGUGCGAAAGCGUGGGGAGCAAACAGGAUUAGAUACCCUGGUAGUCCACGCCGUAAACGAUGUCGAUUUGGAGGUUGUGCCCUUGAGGCGUGGCUUCCGGAGCUAACGCGUUAAAUCGACCGCCUGGGGAGUACGGCCGCAAGGUUAAAACUCAAAUGAAUUGACGGGGGCCCGCACAAGCGGUGGAGCAUGUGGUUUAAUUCGAUGCAACGCGAAGAACCUUACCUGGUCUUGACAUCCACAGAACUUUCCAGAGAUGGAUUGGUGCCUUCGGGAACUGUGAGACAGGUGCUGCAUGGCUGUCGUCAGCUCGUGUUGUGAAAUGUUGGGUUAAGUCCCGCAACGAGCGCAACCCUUAUCCUUUGUUGCCAGCGGUUAGGCCGGGAACUCAAAGGAGACUGCCAGUGAUAAACUGGAGGAAGGUGGGGAUGACGUCAAGUCAUCAUGGCCCUUACGACCAGGGCUACACACGUGCUACAAUGGCAUAUACAAAGAGAAGCGACCUCGCGAGAGCAAGCGGACCUCAUAAAGUAUGUCGUAGUCCGGAUUGGAGUCUGCAACUCGACUCCAUGAAGUCGGAAUCGCUAGUAAUCGUAGAUCAGAAUGCUACGGUGAAUACGUUCCCGGGCCUUGUACACACCGCCCGUCACACCAUGGGAGUGGGUUGCAAAAGAAGUAGGUAGCUUAACCUUCGGGAGGGCGCUUACCACUUUGUGAUUCAUGACUGGGGUGAAGUCGUAACAAGGUAACCGUAGGGGAACCUGCGGUUGGAUCACCU
rnacentral:rRNA from 1 species